ACGAACGCUGGCGGCGUGCUUCACACAUGCAAGUCGAACGGAAAGGCCCUGCUUUUGUGGGGUGCUCGAGUGGCGAACGGGUGAGUAACACGUGAGUAACCUGCCCUUGACUUUGGGAUAACUUCAGGAAACUGGGGCUAAUACCGGAUAGGAGCUCCUGCUGCAUGGUGGGGGUUGGAAAGUUUCGGCGGUUGGGGAUGGACUCGCGGCUUAUCAGCUUGUUGGUGGGGUAGUGGCUUACCAAGGCUCUGACGGGUAGCCGGCCUGAGAGGGUGACCGGCCACAUUGGGACUGAGAUACGGCCCAGACUCCUACGGGAGGCAGCAGUGGGGAAUAUUGCACAAUGGGCGGAAGCCUGAUGCAGCAACGCCGCGUGCGGGAUGACGGCCUUCGGGUUGUAAACCGCUUUCGCCUGUGACGAAGCGUGAGUGACGGUAAUGGGUAAAGAAGCACCGGCUAACUACGU
rnacentral:rRNA from 1 species